rnacentral:rRNA from 1 species
CCUACGGGAGGCAGCAGUGAGGAAUAUUGGUCAAUGGGCGAGAGCCUGAACCAGCCAAGUCGCGUGAGGGAGUACUGCCCUAUGGGUUGUAAACCUCUUUUGUCGGGGAGCAAAAGCCGGACGUGUCCGGCUGUGAGAGUACCCGAAGAAAAAGCAUCGGCUAACUCCGUGCCAGCAGCCGCGGUAAUACGGAGGAUGCGAGCGUUAUCCGGAUUUAUUGGGUUUAAAGGGUGCGUAGGCGGAAGGUUAAGUCAGCGGUCAAAUGUCGGUGCUCAACACCGGCCUGCCGUUGAAACUGGUCUUCUUGAGUGAGCGAGAAGUAUGCGGAAUGCGUGGUGUAGCGGUGAAAUGCAUAGAUAUCACGCAGAACUCCGAUUGCGAAGGCAGCAUACCGGCGCUCAACUGACGCUGAGGCACGAAAGCGUGGGGAUCGAACAGGAUUAGAUACCCCUGUAGUC